GCCGACGUAGCUCAAUACGGCAGAGCAAGCGCCUUGUAAGCGCUAGGUUAUGGGUUCAAGUCCCAUCGUCGGCU
rnacentral:tRNA from 1 species